rnacentral:rRNA from 1 species
UACGGAGGGUGCGAGCGUUGUCCGGAAUCACUGGGCGUAAAGGGCGCGUAGGCGGCCGAUCAAGUCAGGCGUGAAAUUCCCGGGCUCAACCUGGGGGCUGCGCUUGAUACUGAUUGGCUUGAAUGCGGGAGAGGAUAGUGGAAUUCCCAGUGUAGAGGUGAAAUUCGUAGAUAUUGGGAAGAACACCGGUGGCGAAGGCGGCUAUCUGGCCCGUAAUUGACGCUGAGGCGCGAAAGCGUGGGGAGCAAACAGG